rnacentral:rRNA from 1 species
UUACGUGCCAGCAGCCGCGGUAAUACGUAAGGGGCAAGCGUUAUCCGGAUUUACUGGGUGUAAAGGGAGCGUAGACGGAUGGACAAGUCUGAUGUGAAAGGCGGGGGCCCAACCCCCGGACUGCAUUGGAAACUGCCCGUCUUGAGUGCCGGAGAGGUAAGCGGAAUUCCUAGUGUAGCGGUGAAAUGCGUAGAUAUUAGGAGGAACACCAGUGGCGAAGGCGGCUUACUGGACGGUAACUGACGUUGAGGCUCGAAAGCGUGGGGAGCA